ensembl:lncRNA
AUCACCGGCUCUAAACUUGCUGUUUAACACCACCAAGCCGACUGCAUCACAGUUUUGCGGCUGGGCAGGGUGAUGGAUAGGCUGUUACACAACAUCUUCCAAGUCACCUCUGUCAAUAAGAUGUCUUGGAAGCGUACCGAUAUUUCAGAAAGUAAGCCGGAUGUUAAUUCUUUAACCUGUUGUGAUCUGCGGGAGGGAGCAGCCAUUCACAGAUGGAGAAUAUAUGAAAGAAUCGUUCAUAAAACUAUCAGACUUUCAAAACAAACGGGAAAUUGUUCAGAAAAUUAGAGAAAGGCCUCUCUCCGCAAAGACCGUUAGAGACAGGACCAUUAAAACAUCAGCCAUAUGUCAACUCCGACGGGCUGCAGGAAGAACUGACUGGACUCAUACCGCUGUCAGUCAUACUGUCAGUGUCUACUGAUGGGACACACAGUACGAGAGGAGCGCAGAAGGACUUUGUGAAUUUACUUCGAAAGCCACUGGAUCAAGAGCUGAUGACGUUUCACUGCAUCCUCAUGUCCUGUUGUAUAAGGUGCACGUGAUUUACGAUGAUGAGAGGAUAACAUUGUCACUGCUCCUAUUCUUGAGUCUCUGAGCCACUUAAACACCAAACUACUUGUCCACUCUGGGGGUGUCAUGGUCCGUAUCCAGGGAGUGUUCAGGUCGCCUCAAUGGCCAUGCCCUCAGGUUGGGCCAUCAGCAUUGCACCUACACUCCAUCCCAGGCAAUUACAGGAGAACUAUUUCUCCCAGUGCGGACGGCUGCUCCACGCCAGUCCGUUAGUCACUCUUGAUAGUAACUUGGCUCUCCUAAGCUCUAAGUUUAUUCAAGCAUUCUUUGACCUGUGUUAAUAUUACGCCCUUGUGCUCAGGUCGCCAUCGGGUAAUUGAAAACGUCCCCAGCCUGUCCACCUGCCUGUUCUGCGUGCAAGAGAACUCCCUCAGUCUCCGUCUCUUUUCUCCCAUGGAGACCCUCCCCUUUGAGCCCCACAGUUUGGCUCUAAUUGUAAGCUGCAGCAUUCUAAUUCUUAUUCAGAUUUAUAUCUCUGCUUUCCUGCACACAAGUACUUGUUCCCCUUUCUGUGUCAGCUUCCCACAGUCCCGAUCACGGCUUCCCAGGGCGUUUCAGUUCCCAGUUUCCUCAGCUUCAGUUAUAUUUUCGUUCCCUUGGUUGUUCCUCAUCAUUUUUGUUAAACAAAUAAAUCUGUACAUAGUUUCAGGGUUCCUGGCUUGUUGACCCAGUGUUUUCACUUUGUUCAUGUUCUGAUUUUUUUCCCCCCACAUGUUCAUAAUUACUGUUUAAUUAUUUUGGCCUCAGUCUAUGUGUACUAUGUUCCAGUUCUACUUCCUAUGUGUUAUUGGUCAGAUUAGGGUUCAGCUGUGUACUCACUGGUCUCCAAUCAUCCUCAUCAGUCAGUGUAUUUAAGUCCUUUGUUUCCUCCUGUUCACUGUCUUGUCAUCGUCGAUCCCACAGUCAUUACAGACAGUUAGUCCUGUCAUCAUAAUAAACACCACCCUUCAUCAAACCAUGAGUCGUGUGUUUGGGUCCUCUCUUCCUCACAUCCACACAGCGAUGCCUGACACAUAGUUCUUGUGAAUUUCGUAUUAAGUUUGCUUUUGGGUCCCCACUGUGCGUGUGAACCUUGGUUCAUGACAGGGGGCUUUUCAAUUCAAUUCAAUUCAAUUUUAUUUAUA